rnacentral:rRNA from 1 species
UUGGAGGGCAAGUCUGGUGCCAGCAGCCGCGGUAAUUCCAGCUCCAAUAGCGUAUAUUAAAGUUGUUGCAGUUAAAAAGCUCGUAGUUGAAUUUCGGAGUUUGUCGGUUGGUCGGGCUUCAUUGUCCGCACUGGCCUGAUGGAUUCCUACCUUCUGAAUAACCAGCAUGCUAUUAAGUUAGUGCGUUGGGGAAGCAGAGCUAUUACCUUGAAAAAAUUAGAGUGCUUAAAGCAGGCUUAUGCUUGAAUAGAUUAGCAUGGAAUAAUAAAAUAGGACGGCAUGGUUCUAUUUUGUUGGUUUCUAGGAUCACCGUAAUGAUUAAUAGGGAUAGUUGGGGGCAUUAGUAUUCAAUUGUCAGAGGUGAAAUUCUUGGAUUUAUUGAAGACUAACUUCUGCGAAAACAUUUGCCAAGGAUGUUUUCAUUAAUCAAGAACGAAAGUUAGGGGAUCGAAGACGAUCAGAUACCGUCGUAGUCUUAACCAUAAACUAUGCCGACUAGGGAUCGGACGAUGUUAAUUUUUGGAAUGACUCGUUCGGCGCCUUACGGGAACAC